rnacentral:lncRNA from 1 species
GAAAAGUAUCAAUAAUAAUGAGCUGUGUAUUUAUAUAUAAUAUAAUCAUAUAUUACAUCGUAAUAAAAUAUAGACAUGAAUGACACUAUGAGGAUCAUAUCAGAAUCCCUCUUAUUUCCCUCUAUCACCUACAACAAAUUAAUAAUAAUAAUAAAUCAUAGCUAAUCAAGAAUAAUACAUGAAAAUCUCAUCAUAAUAAUAAUAAUAAUAACAACGAACUCUCUCUGUAUACAUAGAUAAUCACUCCGUAAAAAAGAAGUCAAUCAAAUUUAGUUCUUCAACACGGCAAGCAUGGAAACCACCAACGAGGCAACCAUCAUUGCCGCCGAGCCGGAAAUGGAUCCAGCUGCUCCGGCGUCAGGAGACGGCGCCGGAGACGAAGCUGGAGACAAGUCUUGUGCGGAAGCAGAAAGUGCGAACAGAGCAACACAGAGUACGACGGCGAAUGUUCUGAAUGAUGCCAUUGCUGAGUUGAGUUUGAGAAAAUGAAAGAAUGAAAGAAAGCUGAAGACUAGAGAAUGAAUGUGAAAAAGAGNNNNNNNN